GGAAGCGCGCCUUGUGGAAAGGGGUCAGUUAAACGCUGACUGGGCAUUGCCCAUGCAGGUUCGAAUCCUGUCGCUUCCG
rnacentral:tRNA from 1 species